GAGAGUAUCCUAAGGCCAGCGAGAGAACUAUUGUUAAGGAACUCGGCAAAAUGACCCCGUAACUUAGGGAGAAGGGGUGCCUGUCUAUGACAGGCCGCAGAGGACAGGCCCAAGCGACUGUUUACCAAAAACACAGGUUUCUGCUAAGUCGCAAGACGAUGUAUAGGAGCUGACGCCUGCCCGGUGCUGGAAGGUUAAGGGGAUCUGUUAGAGCAUUCGAAGCAGUGAACUUAAGCCCCAGUAAACGGCGGCCGUAACAAUAACGGUCCUAAGGUAGCGAAAUUCCUUAUCGGGUAAGUUCCGACCCGCACGAAAGGCGUAACGAUUUGGGCACUGUCUCAACAAUAGACUCGGUGAAAUUGUAAUCCCGGUGAAGAUGCCGGGUACCUGCGACAGGACGGAAAGACCCCAUGGAGCUUUACUGUAGCUUGACGUUGGGUCUUGGUACUACAUGUACAGGAUAGGUGGGAGACUAUGAAGCAUGGACGCCAGUCUGUGUGGAGUCAUCCUUGGGAUACCACCCUUGUAGUACUGGGAUCCUAACCAUAGGCCUUGAAUCAGGUCUUGGAACACCGUCAGGUGGGCAGUUUGACUGGGGCGGUCGCCUCCUAAAAAGUAACGGAGGCGCUCAAAGGUUUCCUCAGCACGGUCGGAAAUCGUGCGAAGAGUGUAAAGGCAAAAGGAAGCUUGAUUGCAAGACAUACAGGUCGAGCAAGGACGAAAGUCGGACUUAGUGAUCCGGUGGUACCGCAUGGAAGGGCCAUCGCUCAACGGAUAAAAGCUACCCUGGGGAUAACAGGCUUAUCUCCCCCAAGAGUCCACAUCGACGGGGAGGUUUGGCACCUCGAUGUCGGCUCAUCACAUCCUGGGGCUGUAGUAGGUCCCAAGGGUUGGGCUGUUCGCCCAUUAAAGUGGUACGCGAGCUGGGUUCAGAACGUCGUGAGACAGUUCGGUCCCUAUCCGUCGCAGGCGUAGGAAAUUUGAGAAGACCUGUCUUUAGUACGAGAGGACCGGGAUGGACGUACCUCUGGUGUACCAGUUGUUCUGCCAAGGGCAUGGCUGGGUAGCUAUGUACGGGAUGGAUAAGCGCUGAAAGCAUCUAAGCGCGAAGCCAACUCCAAGAUAAGAUUUCCCACCGUAAGGGUAAGACCCCAGGAAGACUACCUGGUUGAUAGGUCGAAGGUGUAAGUGCGGUAAUGUAUUUAGCUUAUCGAUACUAAUAGGUCGAGGACUUGACCG
rnacentral:rRNA from 1 species